AAGUCGUAACAAGGUAACCGUAGGUGAACCUGCGGUUGGAUCAUUACAAAAAUGAUUUUUAUAGGUAGAGUUUUUUAAACCUUACAGUUUUUAAAAUUCCUUAUAAAAAAAUUCACCCUUUGUGCACUGUAAAUGUUUUUCAGGUGUUGCUCUUUUUGAUUAUUAUUUUUUUAUGACGAUUGAUUUGAAAUACACCUGGCAGUAUUAAACUCUUUAUUUAUUAUUUGACUGAAUUUUUUCUAUAAAAUGAAAAUGAAAACAACUUUUGACAACGGAUCUCUUGGCUCUC
rnacentral:misc_RNA from 1 species